rnacentral:rRNA from 1 species
UACGGAGGGUGCAAGCGUUAUCCGGAUUCACUGGGUUUAAAGGGAGCGCAGGCGGGCUGGUAAGUCAGUGGUGAAAUACCCGUGCUUAACAUGGGAACUGCCAUUGAUACUAUUGGUCUUGAAUAUCGUUGAGGUUUGCGGAAUGGGUCAUGUAGCGGUGAAAUGCAUAGAUAUGACCCGGAACACCUAUUGCGAAGGCAGCAGGCUAAGCGAAGAUUGACGCUGAGGCUCGAAAGCGUGGGGAGUCAAACAGG